rnacentral:rRNA from 1 species
CGGGGUGCAGCAGGCGCGAAAACUUUACAAUGCGGGAAACCGCGAUAAGGGGACACCGAGUGCCAGCAUUUAUGUUGGCUGUCCACAUGUGUAAACGGCAUGUGUUAGCAAGGGCCGGGCAAGACCGGUGCCAGCCGCCGCGGUAACACCGGCGGCCCGAGUGGUAAUCACUUUUAUUGGGUCUAAAGGGUCCGUAGCCGGUUUGAUCAGUUCUUCGGGAAAUCUGACAGCUCAACUGUUAGGCUUCCGGGGAAUACUGUCAGACUUGGGACCGGGAGAGGUAAGAGGUACUACAGGGGUAGGAGUGAAAUCUUGUAAUCCCUGUGGGACCACCAGUGGCGAAGGCGUCUUACCAGAACGGGUCCGACGGUGAGGGACGAAAGCUGGGGGCACGAACCGGAUUAGAUACCCGGGUAGUCCCAGCCGUAAACGAUGUUCGCUAGGUGUCAGGGGCGGUGCGACCGCUUCUGGUGCCGUAGGGAAGCCGUGAAGCGAACCACCUGGGAAGUACGCCGCAAGGC